rnacentral:rRNA from 1 species
CGUAGGGUGCAGGCGUUAAUCGGAAUUACUGGGCGUAAAGCGUGCGCAGGCGGUUUGCUAAGACAGGUGUGAAAUCCCCGGGCUUAACCUGGGAGCUGCGCUUGUAACUGGCAAGCUAGAGUGUGGCAGAGGGGGGUGGAAUUCCAGGUGUAGCAGUGAAAUGCGUAGAGAUCUGGAGGAACACCGAUGGCGAAGGCAGCCCCCUGGGCUAACACUGACGCUCAUGCACGAAAGCGUGGGGAGCAAACAGGAUUAGAUACCCUGGUAGUCCACGCCCUAAACUAUGUCAACUGGUUGUCGGGGAAGCAAUUCCUUGGUAACGAAGCUAACGCGUGAAGUUGACCGCCUGGGGAGUACGGCCGCAAGGUUA